AGCGAACGCUGGCGGCAGGCCUAACACAUGCAAGUCGAACGAACUCUUCGGAGUUAGUGGCGGACGGGUGAGUAACACGUGGGAACGUGCCUUUUGGUUCGGAAUAACUCAGGGACACUUGUGCUAAUACCGAAUGUGCCCUUCGGGGGAAAGAUUUAUCGCCAUUAGAGCGGCCCGCGUCUGAUUAGCUCGUUGGUGAGGUAACGGCUCACCAAGGCGACGAUCAGUAGCUGGUCUGAGAGGAUGACCAGCCACACUGGGACUGAGACACGGCCCAGACUCCUACGGGAGGCAGCAGUGGGGAAUCUUGCGCAAUGGGCGAAAGCCUGACGCAGCCAUGCCGCGUGAAUGAUGAAGGUCUUAGGAUUGUAAAAUUCUUUCACCGGGGACGAUAAUGACGGUACCCGGAGAAGAAGCCCCGGCUAACUUCGUG
rnacentral:rRNA from 1 species